rnacentral:rRNA from 1 species
GACGAACGCUGGCGGCGUGCUUAACACGUGCAAGUCGAGCGGAAAGGCCCUUCGGGGUACUCGAGCGGCGAACGGGUGAGUAACACGUGAGUAAUCUGCCCUUGGCUUUGGGAUAGCCACCGGAAACGGUGAUUAAUACCGGAUAUGACACUGUCACGCAUGUGGUGGUGUGGAAAGUUUUUCGGCCAGGGAUGUGCUCGCGGCCUAUCAGCUUGAUGGUGAGGUAAUGGCUCACCAUGGCUUCGACGGGUAGCCGGCCUGAGAGGGUGACCGGUCACAAUGGGACUGAGACACGGCCCAGACUCCUACGGGAGGCAGCAGUGGGGAAUAUUGGACAAUGGGCGGAAGCCUGAUCCAGCAACGCCGCGUGAGGGAUGACGGCCUUCGGGUUGUAAACCUCUUUCAGCACCGACGAAGCGCAAGUGACGGUAGGUGCAGAAGAAGGACCGGCCAACUACGUGCCAGCCGCCGCCGUAAAAC